GUGAACCUGCGGAAGGAUCAUUAU
rnacentral:rRNA from 1 species